rnacentral:misc_RNA from 1 species
GGCCUGUCUCUUUUUUUUAUCGGAAUAUAGAAGGAAAGGCGGACCCCUCCGAUAAUAGAAAAGACUUUUCUUUACUUUACCUAAAAGCACGCCCAAUGUGUUAUUUUAAUUAAAAAUUAAAAAAAGAGUGAGCGAUCUGCACCGCCGGUUCAUAAUAGGGGCUUCCUGCCCCGAAAUUUAUAAGGCUAUCAUAGAUCUGUGCCAACAACGAAACAUUAGUUGGGUCGUGCGCUACCAUAACUUCUAUUACAUCAUAACUAGUUUUGUUUGCCGGAAGAAGAACGUGGUUCGUCUCAAAGAGGGGGUCCAAUACCCUUUGAGAGAGUUGUUCUUUAAGGGUGUCGGCCACGCUCUCACUUACCCGCUCUUGAUAAUCUUGUGGGGUCAGCCCCCUCAGUCUAGCGACGCGCCACACCGCCAAACACCAAGCCAAAGUGGGAACUACAUAAUGUAAGUUAUCGCUAACUAAUGUAAAUACAAAAUUAAGCACAAGAUCCCGGUCCAUUCUAUUCUAUUAUUGCGAAAAAAUGAUUCCCUCCAGAAAGAGAAAAAGACUCCUUCCUUAGUGAGUAGUGAAGAACUAUAGUAUAGAAAAAGGUUGGUUGUUGACCAACAAAGAAAUGGGAAUGAAUGGAAAGCAAGGGAAAAAGAAAGAUGCACAAACGAAAGUUUAAGAUCUCGACACCAAGGGAGUUUUUCCCUUUGACGUAGCGGCGUACGCAACCUCAAUCAUCUCGUCAUUGGCAAGAAAAGUCCACCAUCGGUAGCUCAAUGGAAAACACGUUUACAGUCAAUGAGUGAGAGAAUAAGCAGUCGCAUCACUUAUUUAUGUAAUUUCUCAGUGCUCAAUGGAGCAGCGAGCUAGCUAGGGACAGAGACGGGUAGGGGUAGCGGUUACCUUUGCCCCGAGCCACGGAGUUCUUCUGUUUGGACCAACCUCUUCUCGAGCCAGCUUUGAACUUCGUGUAGACGUGGAUCGACCAAGACAGACACCUCCAGCGACAGCGCAUUCUUCUUUCUUACGAUAAUUCCAACUGAGUGGAUACCGAUACGUAAUACUAAUACUGGGUCAUUUCAACUGUAAAAAAAGAAUGAGAAUGGGAGGGAAAAAGCACUGUGCCGAAGCCCCAAUGGGGCCGAGUCAUGGACUGGUUGGAUCUAACCUAAGGUCCCAGUCCCUCGGGAACAGUGUAAAUAGGCAAGCAGUUCAGGCUGAGAUGGUGAGCGGCUAGUCCCUUUACACAGAAAGAAAGAAAAAAAAGAACUCAGAGACAGAGAGCUUGGAGAACCUAGAACGAGGUAAACCCUGUGCUCACAGGAAACAACAUAAAC